CAGCAGUGGGAAUAUUGCACAAUGGGGGAAACCCUGAUGCAGCCAUGCCGCGUGUGUGAAGAAGGCCUUCGGGUGUAAAGCACUUUCAGUCGUGAGGAAGGUAGUGUAGUUAAUAGCUGCAUUAUUUGACGUUAGCGACAGAAGAAGCACCGGCUAACUCCGUGCCAGCAGCCGCGGUAAUACGGAGGGUGCGAGCGUUAAUCGGAAUUACUGGGCGUAAAGCGCAUGCAGGUGGUUUGUUAAGUCAGAUGUGAAAGCCCCGGGGCUCAACCUCGGAAUAGCAUUUGAAACUGGCAGACUAGAGUCUUGUAGAGGGGGUAGAAUUUCAGGUGUAGCGGUGAAAUGCGUAGAGAUCUGAAGGAAUACCAGUGGCGAAGGCGGCCCCCUGGACAAAGACUGACGCUCAGAUGCGAAAGCGUGGGGAGCAAACAGGAUUAGAUACCCUGGUAG
rnacentral:rRNA from 1 species